CACGGAUCGACGCCACCAGGGGGCAGGGCCAUGGGCUCCCGGCUGGGCGGGGUCUCAGACUGUGCCCCCCCCCCGCCCCGCCCCGCCCCGGCUGGCUGCGGCUGCUGGCUGGACUCUACAUUCAGGCUGCCAGGCAUCUGUGGCCAUGCUUCCCAGAGGGGCGAGACAGGAGGCUACGCCCCGCAGUUGGGCGGGAUGGUGAAUUUGCAGAGAUGUGGGAUGCGCUCCGUAUCGGGUUCAGCCCAGGGACCCAACUCUGUGGUCGAGCCCUGUGGGUUCCUCCGGUGAUCUCCAUGAGGCAAGACCCAGUGGGCUUCCCCAGAAGCGUCCCACAGCAUUGGAGAGGGGAACACACAAGCAAAUCAAAACCCGCAGCCUUUGGGCAAGAAGAGCGGAGGAGCGCCACCUAGCGGCCCCGGCAAGUCCUGCUCCUGAUCAGUCUGGGAGGGGAGACGAAGACUCACUUCUCACGGAGAGGGUCAGAAACUGGAGGCUUCGAGGAGUGCCAAAGGACAGUGCCUUCCACAUGCUCAAAACAGAGGCAAGCCUGAGUCUGGAUGAGACCAAACCUGGAUUCCUCAUGUGUCGCUGAUAUUCCUGGAAAGCAGAGAUAGAAGCAUCAUCAGGGCACCAAACACAGUCCCCCUGAUGACUCCAUCAUGUCCUGUUUGGAGGUGGGCCCCUCGUGUGCACACAGCACCAGCGGGAGUGUGUCCGACCGCUACACGUGGGUGUGCAAUCAGCUGGAGCCAAUACCCUGCUAACAGGCUCUAUACCCAACAUGGGGCUCCAAUCCACGGCCCUGAGAUCAAGAGUCACAUGCUCCACAGACUGAACCAGUCAGGACCCCUAACCAAGUUUAAAAUGUACCUACUUAAGGUCGCCUGGGUGGCACAGCGGUUAAGCGUCUGCCUUCGGCUCAGGGCGUGAUCCCGGCGUUAUGGGAUCGAGCCCCACAUCGGGCUCCUCUGCUAUGAGCCUGCUUCUU